rnacentral:rRNA from 1 species
UUGCUGGGUGGAUCAGUGGCGAACGGGUGAGUAACACGUGAGCAAUCUGCCCCUGACUCUGGGAUAAGCGCUGGAAACGGCGUCUAAUACUGGAUACGAACCGUGGAGGCAUCUUCAACGGUUGGAAAGAUUUUUUGGUCAGGGAUGAGCUCGCGGCCUAUCAGCUUGUUGGUGAGGUAAUGGCUCACCAAGGCGUCGACGGGUAGCCGGCCUGAGAGGGUGACCGGCCACACUGGGACUGAGACACGGCCCAGACUCCUACGGGAGGCAGCAGUGGGGAAUAUUGCACAAUGGGCGAAAGCCUGAUGCAGCAACGCCGCGUGAGGGAUGACGGCCUUCGGGUUGUAAACCUCUUUUAGCAGGGAAGAAGCGAAAGUGACGGUACCUGCAGAAAAAGCGCCGGCUAACUACGUGCCAGCAGCCGCGGUAAUACGUAGGGCGCAAGCGUUAUCCGGAAUUAUUGGGCGUAAAGAGCUCGUAGGCGGUUUGUCGCGUCUGCUGUGAAAUCCCGAGGCUCAACUUCGGGUCUGCAGUGGGUACGGGCAGACUAGAGUGCGGUAGGGGAGAUUGGAAUUCCUGGUGUAGCGGUGGAAUGCGCAGAUAUCAGGAGGAACACCGAUGGCGAAGGCAGAUCUCUGGGCCGUAACUGACGCUGAGGAGCGAAAGGGUGGGGAGCAAACAGGCUUAGAUACCCUGGUAGUCCACCCCGUAAACGUUGGGAACUAGUUGUGGGGUCCAUUCCACGGAUUCCGUGACGCAGCUAACGCAUUAAGUUCCCCGCCUGGGGAGUACGGCCGCAAGGCUAAAACUCAAAGGAAUUGACGGGGACCCGCACAAGCGGCGGAGCAUGCGGAUUAAUUCGAUGCAACGCGAAGAACCUUACCAAGGCUUGACAUAUACGAGAACGCUGCAGAAAUGUAGAACUCUUUGGACACUCGUAAACAGGUGGUGCAUGGUUGUCGUCAGCUCGUGUCGUGAGAUGUUGGGUUAAGUCCCGCAACGAGCGCAACCCUCGUUCUAUGUUGCCAGCACGUAAUGGUGGGAACUCAUGGGAUACUGCCGGGGUCAACUCGGAGGAAGGUGGGGAUGACGUCAAAUCAUCAUGCCCCUUAUGUCUUGGGCUUCACGCAUGCUACAAUGGCCGGUACAAAGGGCUGCAAUACCGUGAGGUGGAGCGAAUCCCAAAAAGCCGGUCCCAGUUCGGAUUGAGGUCUGCAACUCGACCUCAUGAAGUCGGAGUCGCUAGUAAUCGCAGAUCAGCAACGCUGCGGUGAAUACGUUCCCGGGUCUUGUACACACCGCCCGUCAAGUCAUGAAAGUCGGUAACACCUGAAGCCGGUGGCCCAA